GAUGAACGCUAGCGGCAGGCCUAACACAUGCAAGUCGAGGGGCAGCACAGGUAGCAAUACUGGGUGGCGACCGGCGGAUGGGUGCGUAACGCGUAUGCAACCUACCAUUGAUUGGGGCAUAGCCCGAAGAAAUUCGGAUUAAUACUCCAUAAUAUUCAUCAAAGGCAUCUUUUAUGAAUUAAAGCUUUUGCGAUCAAUGAUGGGCAUGCGUGACAUUAGUUAGUUGGUGAGGUAACGGCUCACCAAAACGAUGAUGUCUAGGGGUUCUGAGAGGAUUAGUCCCCCACACUGGUACUGGAGACACGGACCAGACUCCUACGGGAGGCAGCAGUGAGGAAUAUUGGUCAAUGGACGCAAGUCUGAACCAGCCAUGCCGCGUGCAGGAUGACGGCCCUAUGGGUUGUAACUGCUUUUCCACGGAGAACCCUCGACGUGUCGGAGACUGACGGUACCGUGGGAAUAAGCGAUCGGCUAACUCCGUG
rnacentral:rRNA from 1 species